UACGUAGGGUGCAAGCGUUGUCCGGAAUUAUUGGGCGUAAAGAGCUCGUAGGCGGUUUGUCGCGUCGAAUGUGAAAACCCGGGGCUCAACCCCGGGCCUGCAUUCGAUACGGGCAGACUAGAGUUCGGUAGGGGAGUCUGGAAUUCCUGGUGUAGCGGUGAAAUGCGCAGAUAUCAGGAGGAACACCGGUGGCGAAAGGCGGGACUCUGGGCCGAUACUGACGCUGAGGAGCGAAAGCGUGGGGAGCGAACAGG
rnacentral:rRNA from 1 species